rnacentral:lncRNA from 1 species
AGCAGUUGAAUUCAUUCUCAUUGUAGAAAAAAACAAAUCUCAAUUGGAAGGUCUUUCAUUUCCCAAAUUCUCAAGAAAGAGACAACUUUACAAGAUGAGAAUAUUCCUAUUGUACAAAAAUGUUACUACUAAUCUAUGUCAGCCUCAAAAANUGAGAUUUAUUUCAAACAAGAAAUAAUAUGUUGGAAGACAUGUUCGCUGCAAGGAAUUGUGAGGCCACCCGUGGGAUGAUCAUAUCCAAACUCUUCCUCAGAUUGACUCAACAAGUCUUGGAAUAGCGGUUGGUUUAAGUGUGAUACAGGAAUCACAAACCGUUUCAUAUUCUCUCCCACAUAGACUGCAAGGUAUCCCUUUGGCGCAUCCAACACUUUUGAAGAUGCUUGAUUUCUGCCAGACGAAGUCCUUCUCAUACCGGGUAAACGGAAGCCCAUUGUUGUAUUAACCGUGUCAGAAAUUCGAAAACAAAAGGGUUUUGAGAAAUUCUUGAAACUAUGUUUUUGAAUUUUGAAUGCUUUAGGAUGUGAAUGAUCUGUGUUGGUUCUAAACGUGUGCAGCCAUGAAUUAUAUAUAGAGAUAAAAGGCUAUAGGAGAAACCACUUGAUAGAUGAAUUAUUGAUUCAGGAGGGAUAUGAGAUUGGAAUAAUGGGGCCAAAUCAUAGACAAGUUACAUGGUGUUGUCUUCNAAUUAUAACAUGUGUCUCUAGAAGAGAAAGAUGUAUCGUGUUUAGUAUGUUACACUUAUUAAGGGCAGUGUGCAAAUUUCACGCUUUGUUGUUAGACUUUGGCGUCCACAGAAGUUCUGGCUCAUAGUGUCUCAUCACACAUUCAAUGUUGGUCCUCACUGCUUCAGAGUUAUCUCAAUCCUCAACAUUUACAAGUUGCUUAUGCCAUCUUUAUAUUAGUUGGUACAUGAAAGGUGCAUAUAUCAACAACAUUAUAGUCUUAUUUAAAUAAACAUGUGAGAUGUCUGCAGUAUGUCUACUACAUGUCUAUCAAUGAUGUAGCUAGAGCUCAAUCAGUGAACAAGAAUUAGAUUUCAGCUUGUUGAUGUAUCUAUCUUAAUGUGGAUUGCCACUUUCUUAGAAGGUAGAAUGUGGGGUAUGGCAUGCAUUUUCUUUAAUCCAUGAAUGAGGUCUCUAAGACAAUACCAUGUGAUAUCAGUCCUUCCUUGGACCCCAUCAUGGUCUUGCAAAAAUCAUUCACAGAGUUCUCAUUAGGGACUAUAUAUACACUAUUGUUUUGAAUCGUCAAGCAACCCAAGUCAUUUGCAUUCUGUGAAGCAUUAGAAUUCCAAAGUUUCAUCCUCACAAAGAGUUUGACAUCACACAACAUAUUGUUUGUUUGUGAGAGCAAUAAAAACAAUGGGUUUCCGCAUCCCAGGUAUUGUUAGACAGGGAUCAUUUUCAUCAUCCAAAGCAACUCCCAAGGGAGUUGAAGUCCCAAAAGGCUAUCUUGCAGUGUAUGUUGGAGUUAACAUGAGACGGUUUGUGAUUCCAAUAUCAUACUUGAACCAACCUUCAUUUCAACAUUUACUAUGCCAAGCUCAAGAAGAAUUUGGAUAUGAUCAUCCAACGGGUGGCCUCACAAUUCCAUGCAACGAGGAUGAGUUUCUAAACCUCACCUCUCGCUUGAAUGAGCUGCUGUAAAUCAAGCUAUGAUAGAAACUAGGAUAGAUUACUUGAGGCAAAUUUGUACAGAAGGAACAUUCUUUUUUAUGGAUAUUUUCCAUGUUUUCCAUCCCUGUAUAAUCCUAGAAAAGUUGGAAAUUCUGAUAUGAAUGAAGAUGUUAGGACUAGACAUUUCCAUAAACACUUUUUAUUGCUUUUGCCAGAUCUCAACGGAUUCUAAUGUAUACAACAUUAUCCUUUUAUGUUAAGGAUAGACAGUUUUACUGUUUUUCUUAUAUCUCUUAUACAAUUGAUGCAUAUUUCUAGAAAGGAAAGCGUGCCAAACAUUUUAUAUUAUGUUCAUAGACAUAUAAUACAUAAACGACAAAGAAUUAGCUUUGCGAGAAGUUUUACUAUUGGCUUAUUAGAACCCUAUCUCGAAACACUGUGGGCUCAGCAGCAAGUGCGGGACUGCAGAGAUAAGUUUGCUUUAACAUUUUCUACAUGACCUGACAUUUUACUAUUACAUGAAGAAGAAAGAUCUGAUCAGGAAAAGAAAGUUUCGUUUUUUAAUACAGUAAACUUUUUGUUGGAAACAAUAGUGUCAAAAAAGUGUCAAUAAAGUUAAAAAAUUUCUUGCUGCAUCUGCAUACUUUCUUCCUCCACACCCAUCUUCCACCUCCACUCCAGCCCAUCGUCUUCUUCCACAUCCGCCUCCACUCCAUCAUCAUCAUCUUCUUCUUCUUCACACCGCAACUCUUUUAUUCAACCAACCAGAUAUUGCAUACAAGAUUGACAUCAUUCUCCUAACACAGAUUUCAUUUUAUCUUCAAAAGAUAAACUCCACGAGUAAUUCGGAAUGAUUUUUUAUUUUCUAUUCAAAAUCUAAAAUAUAUUUUUUAUUUUUUAUUUUAGAUUAAUUUGAAAUACAAUCCACAAUCUAAAGUAAAAAUAUAUUCUAAAUAGUACAAUCUACUAUAUGAAAAAUUAAAUUUCAGAUUAUAAUUUAAAAUAUAAAAAAUUAAAUUUUAAAUUACAUGUAAUACACUUUUUUAUUUUAUAUAUAUAUAUAUAUAUAUAUAUAUUGUAUAUAUUUUGAAUUAUUCAUUUCAAAAAGAUUACAUAGUUCAGAAUUAAAAAUUAAAAAAGAUAAAAUUAGAAUUUUAAAAUAUACGAAGAUAUAGGAAGAAAUGGUAUAAGUGUANCAACGGGUGGCCUCACAAUUCCAUGCAACGAGGAUGAGUUUCUAAACCUCACCUCUCGCUUGAAUGAGCUGCUGUAAAUCAAGCUAUGAUAGAAAAUAGGAUAGAUUACUUGAGGCAAAUUUGUACAGAAGGAACAUUCUUGUUUAUGAAUAUUUUCCAUGUUUUCCAUCCCUGUAUAAUCCUACAAAAGCUGGCAAAUUCAUAAACACUUUUUAUUGUUUUUGCCAGAUCUCAACGAAUUCUAAAUAUACAACAUUAUCAUGUUCAGACCUUUCCUACCAGACAAUUUUUCUCCUUUCUUGUAUCUCUUUUAUACUCUGUAGUGGUUUUUGGGACACAUGGUUAGGUACAUCUACACAAACAUAUAAUAUAAAAACAAGCAAUAAACUCCACAAUCAACUUGAUUAUAGGCUCUUCGUAAGUUUCACAAAAAAGAUAAAACCAAAAUUCAUUUAUGUCUUUCUCAUGUUUGAAUACACUAUGCAUAGAUAAAACCAAAAUUUAUGUAGAUUUAGAAUUAAGGUAAAGAGGAAACUGAAAAUUGGAUAUCAAUAAGAAGAGAAGAGCCCAUGAAAUUGGAACAAGGAUAUUUUGGACAUAUCUCUAGGGACUAAAGCGUCACAAAAACAUUUUAUAUCAUGUCCAGCAGAAAUAAAAUACUAAAAUGACAAGAGGCAGUUUUUUGAGAACUUUAUCAGUACCAAGCGUUGACUGCAGUGAGUAAUUUGUUUUAGGAUCUUCUAUAUCUCCUGACAUUUUACAAUCGUAUGAAGAAUGAAUGUGUGAUACACACUAGGAAAUUUUCAAUGUUGAAUGCAGUAAACUUUCUCAAUUCCAAAUAUUGAAAGAAUGAAAAAAUACUUAUGAUCAUGUUACCGUGGAUUAGUGUUUCAGACACCCUCAGUAAGUAAAGUUCAAGAAUAGUAAGUAAGGCAGGUAUAAAGCAGGAAUGAUUAAGGCAUAUCCAUAGUAGAAUGCAAUUCACCAAUUUCUGUCUAAAGAAAUACUACUUAUGCAUAUGAAGGUGGAGCAUACACCAUAAGUGCACACCAUUAUCUACCCUUGUUAGGAAUGACGUGUUCUGUUCUUGUUUAUAAAUUGAUAAAAGAAAACUCUAGCUAUUUUUUCUUGCUGCUAUCAACGGUGUUCACACAAGGAGAAGAAAACAUUAUAACUAAUAAACAUGAAGCACAGAGAAAAUGCUUGAUCAAAUGAAAGUUUUCUCAUUGCAUAUAAAAAACAACAAUGAUUUUUUCAAUCUAGUAUUUUUCUUUUCCAUAUUUCUUGAGAAAGGGAGUUCUUUACAAGUUGAGAAGAUUCCUAGUGUACAAAAAUGUCACUUCUACUCUAAGUCAAUCUCCUGAAAUGUGAGAUUUAUAAUCCACUCAAGCAAAAAGUUAUACGGUUGAAGACAUCUUCGCUGCAAGGAAUUGUGAGGCCACCCAUGGAGUGCUCAUAUCUAAACUCUUCUUCAGCUUGACUCAGCAAGUCUUGGAAGGAAGGUUGGUUCAAGUAUGACAGAGGGAUCAUGAACCGCUUCAUUUUCUCUCCAACAUACACCGCAAGGUAGCCUUUUGGUGCAUUUGCUGCUCUUGAAGACGCUUGACUGACUGCAAAUAAUGUUUUUUUGCUACCAGGUAAACGAAAACCCAUUGUUGUAUUGAUUUUGUUAUAGACUUGAGAAAAAAAAUAGUUUCAGAGAACUCUUGAAUAUAAGCGGUGUAAUUUUGAAUGCUUUGGGUUGGCCUAUAUGCUUGAAGCCAGGNAUAUAUAUAGAUAAAAGGAUACGGAACUAGCUGAUGCAUAAAUUAUUGCUUAAUGAAGGAUAUGAGAUUGGAGUAAUGGGGCCAGAUGAAAGACAUGGUAUAUGGUGUUGUCUUCAAGAUCUUAUCUUAAUAAUCACUGUUACAUGUAUUUAUGGAAAGGAAAGUCUAAUGGGAACAUGUUGUAUGUCACUUAUUGAAGGUGGUGGGGGAGGGAAACUUCAUUUUUUCUAAUUUCAUGUUCUGUUGCUUAGAAUCUGGCACGUACACAAAAAAGGUGGUUCACAGUACCUUAUGAUCAUGCACUCAAUGUGAGUUCUCUUUUUACCUCUACUGUUUUGGAGCAAUCAAGUAGCUUUUCUCAAGGCUCAAUAUUAGUUGGUAUGUGGUAGAUGUAUAUCAACAUUAUAGUCGCAUUUAAAGAAACAUGUGACGAAGUCUUAGGCAUGCCAGCUCUUGUCUGUCAAUGAUGUAGCUAGAUCACAAUAAAUAAACAAGAACUAGCUUUCACCUCCAAUGAUGUGUUUGAUGUCUGCACUCCCAGUCAUUCAUAAAAGAGGUCUCUAAAACAAUACCAUGUAUUAUGAGACAGACAUCAUUUUCUGCUACCAAAGCAACUUAAUGGCCUUUGAACCUGUUUAUGGUAUUCCAGAGCCAAUGCUGAUUUUGAAACACUUAGGAACUAAGUUUUACGAUGAAAUAUAGCUACUGCAGAUUGUGUAGAAAAUUUAAAAGGAGGAAUAUAUUUUGGGGCUAAAUUGUUUUCUCUUUUGAUUAUUUUUUUUCUUACUUUCUCUACUACAUUCAAAACAUUUUAAAUAUUGAGAAGUAACUGUUAGAAUGCUAUAAGUUUAAUAAGAAUUACAUAAAUACUACUAAAUACUCUUAAAAGCUAUUUAAUAAACACUCAAACACCACUAAGCGUAUAUGAAACUAUCAGCAAGUUGAUCAUUGGACUUGAAAAACUCCAAUUUUACCCCUUCUUCUUUAACUAUUUCAUGAUUAAAAGAUGUUUGACAGUUCUGUGUUUUGUUCUUCCAUCCACUGUAAAUUGGUUGCUUGCCCAUAGCAAUGGCUUUUUUUUCAUCACAGCCAAUAGUUACAACAUCUUAUUUUCACCAAAAUCUUCAAGUAUUCUCUUCGAUUAAUUGCAAUUGCUUGUUGGGUUGCGAAGCUAGUUGAAAUAUAUCCAACCAUUCUAGAAGUAUUAGAUACAACUUGCUGCCUUUCGCAGACGUGAAAAUACACCUAAGCCGAGUGAAAGAAUAUAUGUAGAAGUGUUUUUCAUAUACCAUUCAUGCAUCUAGCCCAAUCACUAUCACAAAUGCCAACAAACAUUGCUUAAGUCUUCUUGACAUACUUUAUUCCAUAGUUCAAAGUACCUCUUAACACCAUUCUUGCUUUACCUAGAUGGAUAUCACUUGGAUUGUUCAUGAAUGGAAAAAAUAACAUCUUGCAAGCAUGAUGAUAUCAGGCCUGCCUUAAAUUACUGAGGUAAAAUAAAUUAGCAUUACAUUUCUAUAGUUUCUAGCAUUAACUUUCCUUCCUCUACAUUCUUUCUUUAGAAAACUGGAACACUGUAAGCAAAAAAACUCAAAAGGAGAUGCUUGAGCAGUCAAGUUCAUUCUCAUUGAAGAAAAAAUUUACAGACUCUGAUUUUGUCAAUUGGGUGGUCUUUCAUUUUCCAAAUUCUCAAGAAAGAGACAACUUUACAAGAUGAGAAGAUUCCUAUUGUACAAAAAUGUUACUACUAAUCUAUGUCAGCCUCAAAAAAUGAGAUUUAUUGUCCACUCAAACAAAAAAUAAUAUGUUGGAAGACAUGUUCGCUGCAAGGAAUAGUGAGGCCACCCAUGGGAUGAUCAUAUCCAAACUCUCCCUCAGCUUGACUCAACAAGUCUUGGAAUAGAGGUUGGUUCAAGUGUGAUACAGGAAUCACAAACCGUGUCAUAUUCUCUCCCACAUAGACUGCAAGGUACCCCUUUGGCGCAACCAACACUUUUGAAGAUGCUUGAUUUCUGGCAGAUGAAGUCUUUCUGAUACCGGGUAAACGAAAGCCCAUUGUUGUAUUGACUGUGUGUGAAAUAUGAGAACAAAAGGGUUUCAAGAAAUUCUUGAAAAUAAGCUUUUGAAUUUUGAAUGCUUUAAGAUGUGAAUGAUCUGUGUUGGUCCUAAACGUGUGCAGUCAUGAAUUAUAUAUAGAGAUAAAGGGCUAUCGGAGAAACCAAUUGAUAGAUGAAUUAUUGAUUCAGGAGGGAUAUGAGAUUGGAAUAAUGGGGCCAAGUUAUAGACAAGUUAUAUGGUGUUGUCUUCGAAUUAUUACAUGUUCUCCAGAAUAGAAAGAUGUAUCGUGUUAUGUAUGUUACACUUAUUAAGGGCAGUUUGCAAAUUUCAGGCUUUGUUGUUAGACUUUGGCGUCCACAGAAGUUCUGGCUCAUAGUGUCUCAUCACACAUUCAAUGUUGGUUGCCACUGAUUUAGAUUUAUCUCAAUCCUCAACAUUUACAGGUUGCUUAUUAAACCCUUGUAUUAGUUGGUACAUGAAAGGUGCAUAUAUCAACAACAUUAUAGUCUUAUUUAAAUAAACAUGUGAGAUGUCUGCAGUAUGUCUACUA